CGGCGAGUGAAGCGGCAACAGCUCAAAUUUGAAAUCUGGCGCCUCCGGCGUCCGAGUUGUAAUUUGUAGAGGAUGCUAUUGGGUUGCCACCGGUCUAAGUUCCUUGGAACAGGACGUCACAGAGGGUGAGAAUCCCGUAUGUGACCGGCCAGGCGCCCUCCGUAUAGCUCCUUCGACGAGUCGGGUUGUUUGGGAAUGCAGCCCUAAAUGGGAGGUAAAUUUCUUCUAAAGCUAAAUACCGGCCAGAGACCGAUAGCGCACAAGUAGAGUGAUCGAAAGAUGAAAAGCACUUUGGAAAGAGAGUUAAAAAGCACGUGAAAUUGUUGAAAGGGAAGCGCUUGCAAUCAGUCUCGACGGCGGCUGUUCGGCCUCUCUUCUGAGUGGUUUAUUCAGUCGCCGCCGGGCCAGCAUCAGUUUCGGCGGUCGGACAAAGGCGCGGGGAAUGUAGCUCCCUCGGGAGUGUUAUAGCCCCGCGUGCAAUACGGCCCGCCGGGACUGAGGUCCGCGCUCCGGCUAGGAUGCUGGCGAAAUGGUUGUAAGCGGCCCGUCUUGAAACACGGACCAAGGAGUCUAACAUCUACGCGAGUGUUUGGGUGUCAAACCCGUGCGCGCAAUGAAAGUGAACGGAGGUGGGAACCGCAAGGUGCACCAUCGACCGAUCCUGAUGUCUUCGGAUGGAUUUGAGUAAGAGCGUAGCUGUUGGGACCCGAAAGAUGGUGAACUAUGCCUGAAUA
rnacentral:rRNA from 1 species